ensembl:lncRNA
UUCAAGAAUCAAGACUUGGUUUUAUUCACUGCAUUAAUCCAAGUAAAACAUUUGGACACUUGACUUAAAACAGAUGACCACUACAUAUUGUGUUUUCUUAAUUUCAUGUUAACCAGACACUUGGUCCAAAGGGAUGUCAUCAUUAACAGAAACGAGAGUUUCUGAUCUCACAUAUCCCCUCAGAGCUCCAGUGGGAUGAUCACAGGAAUUUCCAACAGGAUAUGCAAGAUUAUACUGGUAUUAUUACAGUCUGUUCACUAGGGUGAUAUGAGCAGGAUAAUUUAAUCGAUGUUCUGUAUUCAAUUUAAAGUACAACUCCCUAUCUCUCACUCUAUUUCUCUCUAUCUUUAUCUCUCCAUCUCUCUUUCUAUCUCUCUCUCUCUCUCUCUCCAGUGCAAUCCCUCUUCACCAGUCGUGAAUAGUUAUCUUCAUUCUGACAACUCAGCUUGAAUUAAGCUCACCCAUUCUCAUCAGCAUGCACCCUCUUGACAAGGACAUUAAGUGCUAUAUCCCUUGUAUGACAGGUCUUGAGGAUUGAUUUUUUAUGCCCUAUGAAGGCAGUAUCUCUUUCAUAUCAGACAGGAGAUGAUUCCAAAGUUCAAUUUUCAGUAACAAGAGAUACUGAGAGAAGAUCAUGUCUCAGACUGACAGAAUCAUUCCAGUGCUGUCAAGAAACUUAUGGGAAUGAAAUUGAAAUUCUCCCAAACACAAAACUACUCAAAAACUCAAGACAUAGACAUAGACAUUGGACCCAAAAAUAUAAGAAUUUGAGAACUGUGACAUCAUCCAGACUAUUUCUAUCAUCAUUCAACAAGAUAUACAAUUUUCUAAACAUCUCCAUAAAGAUAUUUGCUACUAAGGACCUGACCCUCUAUACUAACUGUAAAAUCAUUGGAAAAUAAAACACCCAUAUCACUGCAUCACAGCAUCAGGGCACCAAUUACCUCCAACACUUUACAACUUGUCAUCCUGUCACCAUACAUUUUUCAAACCCUCCUUUCCCCAAUGCAAAAUGUAUAGCAUAUGAUGUGCUUCAUUGACCAACCCCUGUAAAUGUUUAUGCCAUGUCAUGUGAAUGGCACACUCAUAUAUUUUUAAAUGAGCUAGUUUGCAAACGAGAAUCAUUAAGGAGAUAUCUGUAUUAUGCAUUCAGGGAAGCAAUGCCGAAAAUAUAUAGCCAGACAUAUGUAUGAUGGGAAAGAUUGAUGAUAAGACUUGAUAAUGGAAGAGCCAUACAUAUUUAAAGAUAAAGCCAAACAAAUUCUAUGUUCAUGUUGCAUGGCUUUGAACAGGUUGUAUAGACAUUAUUUUAUAAGAUAGACUUUCUUUUAUAAGAGUUUGCGAAAUAUAUAUCUUUACCAGAGGCUUUCGUUUUUCUUGAUAUAGACAGACACAGGACAUGCCAAGCCAAUGAUAAUUUAAUAUUUCUCUAUCAGAACAUUUGCAAGGCUUUGCAUCUAUAAAUUACUACAACCAAAUGAGCCAAGGCAUCGCUGCCCUGAAACCCUUUCUCCCACAAGCCACUGCGGCCACCUGCAGAUGCUCUCACACAAUCAGUUCGAACACAGCAAAGAUAAAUCAACUGCCAAAGAUCCAUUGAUGUCAGGAAAAUAAAUUGCCCUUGCCUGCGUUUUCAGGGAAAACUAAUUUUCCUCACCCCGGUAAUAAAGUACACGGUAGUUUGGCCUCGCUGGAAGCUUGCCCAUCAGACCCAGAGCUGUGUACCUCAUUUGUCUUGACAAAUGGAUAUAUUCAAUAACAGGCCGCGCUCUUUAACCUGGAGAUAGUGUGCAGACUGCUGCUAUGUGCUCUCUAUGCUAAUAAAAGUACCAAUGUCUUGUUUGAUUGCUUCCUUCCAUCGUCAAUUAUUUGCCCCUCUCCUUUCCUCUCACCUGGAGUGAAGGUUUGACUGAAUGCAUGGAUGACUUGCCAAUUACUCCACAUUAAUCACAGAGAACCCAUCGAACCAAUGGGGAUAUGGAGGCCAUUCCGAAUGUCUCCUGGAGUAACUUGAUUGGCUCCCCACAGUAAUUCAAUCACCAUGCUGCCUUGCAGCAGGAAUUCUAUAAGAAUUUGAAGAAUCCUAAUAAACACCAAAUUAAGGAAUAGGCGGUGGGCAGUAGCAAGCUGUCUGCUUUAGCUUUCAAGAUGAUCUAUCUCUGUUGAGGGAGGAACUGGUUUUUACAUAUUGUGUAUAUUUAUUUAUUCUGAACACAGUUCCGUUUGUUGCCAAUGCCAAUUCUUGCAAAUGUUUUCAAAAUACUUACUUUUAUGGUCGCUAGCUGGACAGACAAAUGCUGCCAGGUACUAAACUGUAAACAAAUCAAAACUCAUUACUAUCCAUGCUACCAUCUCAGCUGAUCACGUCUGCCAAUCAUGCUAUCCAGUACCUAAGGUAGUAGACAGCUGGUAAACAGCUGGUGACUACAAAUAUCUAUAGGACAAGUAGUGUAAAGCUAAUUCAGUCAUCAAGGCAGGACAGGACCAACUAAUUUCCUUCUAACAAAUAAGAAAUGCCCAAUUAUCUUUGCCAAUAGUUGGAGUAGGAUGAUUGCAGAGCACCCUGCCUCAGACUGCCAGGAUGUUCAUUUUCUAGCUCACAAACUACAUUCCUUUAUUUUAUUCAUUUUUGUCUCUUAAUUUUGUCUCACAUGAUCUAAUCAGCUAUGCUGUGUCCUGCUCCCAGAGAUCAACCAAGUGCUAUUCACCGAGCAUGGGCUGAUUCCCUCACCUGUGAGGAGAACCAUGCUAUUGCAGUGUGAACUAACUAAUUACAAAUAAUUUAUAGACUGCAAACUGACUGCAAGAAAGGGAAAGGGGGAUACCUAGUCAGUUGUACAACUGAAUGCCUUCAACUGAAAUGUGUCUUCCUCUGAAUCAGAGAGGUGCGGGGGGCUGCCUAAGCACAAAUAGAUAUAAUAGAUAUAUUAUUUGACAAAAACAUAAUCAUUUCAAACCUUGCUUAUAUUUGCAUACGAUCAUGUGUGCCCCAACAAUUAUGCUUGGGAAUAGAUUUCCAAAAUUAUAAUCACUUGGAGCUGACUUACUGGGAGGGUUUUACAGUUUUUAUGUCCAACAAUUAAAUAAAACAAAUGUAUAUAUUUAUUUUUUACCUGGGAGGCCAAAUAAAACCACGCAGGCCGCCUAUUGGCAUUUUAGAGUUGAAGAACAUCAACUACAGAUACACGUGCUUGUUUGAGCAUAUCUUUUUUUUUUACCCCUUUUUCUCCCCAAUUUCAUGGUAUACAAUUGUUUAGUAGCUACUAUCUUGUCUCAUCGCUAUAACUCCCGUACGUGCUCGGGAGAGACUUAGGUUGAAAGUCAUGCAUCCUCCGAUACACAACCCAACCAAGCCGCACUGCUUCUUAACACAGCGCCAUCCAAAUCGGAAGCCAGCCUCCUCAGUGUCGGAGGAAACAUCGUGCACCUGGCAACCUUGGUUAGCGCGCACUGCGCCCGGCCCGCGAAUAAAGCAUUAUACAGUUGAAGUUGACAUACACCUUAUUAACCAAAUAGAUUUAAACUCCGUUUUUCACAAUUCCUGACAUUUAAUCCUAGAAAAAAAUCCCUGUUUUAGGUCUGUUCAGAUCACCACAUUAU